rnacentral:lncRNA from 1 species
ACUAAAUUAUGCCCCCUCCCACCAUUCAUAUGUUGAAAUCCUAACUCCAGAUGUGAGGAUAUUUGGAUAUGGAGCCUUUGGGAGGUGAUUAGACAAAGAUGAGGUCAUGAAGGUGUAGCCUUUAUGAUGCGAUUUGUGUCCUUGUCAGAAGAGACAUGAGAGAGCUGUCUCUCUGAUUAGUGCUCUCUCUCUCUCUUUGUCUCUUUCUGGCUGGCUCUCUGGCUCUCUGUUUCUCAGCCACAUGAGGACGUGAGGAAAGGACAGCAUCUACAAGCCAGGAAGGACAUUCGUGUUGAGAAACAAAUGACCUGGAAGGUGAUUCAGAGAUCAUCAGGGCACCUGGCUCAGUGCUUUCACCUGUAGCUGUGGGUGUGGGAUUCCCCAGCAGAGCCUUGGGGGCAGGACCUCACCUGCAGUGCUAGUGGACCUAGAGGACAGAAUAUUGAACCAGGGAGGAUCACCCUCAAGUCUUAAAAUCUGACAGAAUUUGCCUUAUUGUUUUAGACUUGCCUGGGACCCAUCGCUCCUUCCUUCUUUCCUACUCUCAUUUGGAAUGAAAAUACCUAGCCUAUGCCUGGCUCAUCAUUGUAUUUUGGAAGCACAUAAUGUAAAAUGAAGUGAAUUAAGAAUCCACCUUUAGCUCAUGCAUCGAUCCGC